GGGUGUCCUUCAUGCUCUUGACUAUCAUCACUGGCAUUACAAUGUUAAGAAGCUGCUACCCCACAAGAAGCAUAAUGGACCAAGACAUGUGAAAGGGUUAGGGGGGUACUCAUAUUUGUUGGAACCUUGGUGGUGGGCUGGGAUGAUAACUAGUCAGAAAUUUUUUGGAGAGAUGCAAAAUAUGGUUCAAGAAUUAAAGAACUUA